ensembl:miRNA
UGAGGCAGGAGAAUCGCUUGAGCCUGGGAGGUGGAGGUUGCAGUGAGCAGAGAUUGUGCCAUUGCAGUCCAGCCUGGGCGACAGAGACUCCGUCUCAAAAAAAAAAAAA